GUUUGAUCCUGGCUCAGGACGAACGCUGGCGGCGUGCUUAACACAUGCAAGUCGAACGGAGCGCCUAUGAAGGAGAUUUCGGUCAACGGAAUAGGCUGCUUAGUGGCGGACGGGUGAGUAACGCGUGAGGAACCUGCCUUUCAGAGGGGGACAACAGUUGGAAACGACUGCUAAUACCGCAUAACACAUAGGUGUCGCAUGGCAUUUAUGUCAAAGAUUUAUCGCUGAAAGAUGGCCUCGCGUCUGAUUAGCUAGUUGGUGAGGUAACGGCUCACCAAGGCGACGAUCAGUAGCCGGACUGAGAGGUUGGCCGGCCACAUUGGGACUGAGAUACGGCCCAGACUCCUACGGGAGGCAGCAGUGGGGAAUAUUGGGCAAUGGGCGCAAGCCUGACCCAGCAACGCCGCGUGAAGGAAGAAGGCUUUCGGGUUGUAAACUUCUUUUGACAGGGAAGAGUANAAGACGGUACCUGUCGAAUAAGCCACGGCUAACUACGUGCCAGCAGCCGCGGUAAUACGUAGGUGGCAAGCGUUGUCCGGAUUUACUGGGUGUAAAGGGCGUGUAACCGGGUUGACAAGUCACAUGUGGAAUCCUGCGGCUUAACCGCAA
rnacentral:rRNA from 1 species